CGCGUAGGUGGUAGUGAAAGUCUAUGGUGGAAUCUUAGGGCUUAACCCUAAAACUGCCUUGGAAACUUCAUUACUUGAGUCAGUGAGGGGAGGGUAGAAUUCCUGGUGUAGCGGUGAAAUGCGUAGAUAUCAGGAGGAAGGCCGGUGGCGAAGGCGGCCCUCUGGCGCUGAACUGACGCUGAGGCGCGAAAGCGUGGGUAGCAAACAGGAUUAGAUACCCUGGUAGUCCACGCCCUAAACGGUGGGUACUAGGUGUAGGGCUCGUAAGGGUUCUGUUCCGAAGGGAAACCAUUAAGUACCCCGCCUGGGGAGUACGGCCGCAAGGUUGAA
rnacentral:rRNA from 1 species